CUGGCCGUAAACGAUGGAUACUAGGUGUAGGAGGUAUCGACCCCUUCUGUGCCGGAGUUAACGCAAUAAGUAUCCCGCCUGGGGAGUACGAUCGCAAGAUUGAAACUCAAAGGAAUUGAC
rnacentral:rRNA from 1 species